AUACGGGGGGGGCAAGCGUUGUUCGGAAUUACUGGGCGUAAAGGGCGCGUAGGCGGACCAGACAGUCUCUCGUGAAAUCCCACGGCUCAACCGUGGAACUGCGGGAGAUACUACUGGCCUUGAGUUCGGGAGAGGAGUGUGGAAUUCCCAGUGUAGAGGUGAAAUUCGUAGAUAUUGGGAAGAACACCGGUGGCGAAGGCGGCCAUCUGGACCGGCACUGACGCUGAGGCGCGAAAGCUAGGGUAGCGAACGGGAUUAGAAUCCCCAGUAGUCC
rnacentral:rRNA from 1 species